CGCCGCAUCAUCUCGCGUGAGUGCCGGGGAGCGGGUCGGCCUGAUCUCUGCUUCCACAGAGCUGCGAAAAAGCAGGAGGCUGCUGGAAAGGCUGUGGUCCAGGAGCAAUUGUCGGGUGAAUGGACUGCUCUAGCAUUUACUGCUACUUGGCCUGAGGUUGCAGACAAGUCUGCAGGUGCCCUCUGUGCCCAUCCAGCAGUUAUCUUCUGAAGACUGCAGCGCUCAUCCUGCCACUAGGGACUGGACUGCAGCUCCCUGCUCAGGCCACUAAACAGUGUCUAGUGACCACGAAAGAAUGGCCGAGACAGCCCACUUGCUCUGGAGCCUGCAGUUGGGAUCCUGGGAAAACCAGCAGACACUGUGAAAGGGACAACUACUGCUUUCUUGUCUGUGUGUACCCACGUGUGCAUGCGUGCGUGUGCCUGCACAUGCCUGAAAGUUUGGCAUGUCUUUCUGCCUCUCAGGGCAGGCAGUUUGUCAGUUCUUAUGUUUAUGAGGUCAGCCAUCAGGUUGGGAACCCCAAGAAUAUGGUCAGAGAUUUGGGGUGCAUCCCAAUAACAGUCUAAUAUACUACACAUCAUUGCCAGCUCUCAAGGGGGAUUUUCUAGGUCUUUCUUUAUGCUACCUUUGGAUGUGACUGUGAAUCUUAAGAGAAUUGCUUCUUUUGUA
rnacentral:lncRNA from 1 species